CAGCCGCCGCGGUAAUACGUAGGUGGCAAGCGUUGUCCGGAAUUAUUGGGCGUAAAGCGCGCGCAUGUGGUUUAAUAAGUCUGAUGUGAAAGCCCACGGCUCAACCGUGGAGGGUCAUUGGAAACUGUUAAACUUGAGUGCAGGAGAGAAAAGUGGAAUUCCUAGUGUAGCGGUGAAAUGCGUAGAGAUUAGGAGGAACACCAGUGGCGAAGGCGGCUUUUUGGCCUGUAACUGACACUGAGGCGCGAAAGCGUGGGGAGCAAACAGGAUUAGAUACCCGCGUAGUCCCUGUCUCUUAUAC
rnacentral:rRNA from 1 species